AGAAUGACUUUUUACAUAGACGACGAUAACUUUUAUCGGUGUGGCGUGUGGGUACUGGCUACUGGAGCGGCUGGGUAUUCAUUGGAAUUCAUCGAUCUAAUGAUUCUAAUAAGAAAAAAAAACCAUGCCUCCAGUGUCACAACUGAUGAUUCCUUUACCCAUCAAAUGCCAGAUUGGCAGAUAGUUCAAUAUGUGGGUGCUGAAUGAACUGGUAAACAUAAAAAAUGGAAUUGACAAUAGAUUACAUUUAUCAUCAGACAUUGCUCCCUUUCAGAAAAUUAUGUCUUGAAGAUGACGACAAGUUGCCAGUUGAUUUACAUGUCACCCAUAAUGAUAUCCUAGCACACCAUACUUUAUUCGGCAUGCAAAAAAAACUUUCCCUUCUAGCUUUCCCUCAUUUAAAGGCCUUGAUGUUAUGGUUAGCGAAAUUUUAUCAACAAAGAUAAAUUAAAGCUGCAGCUUUGGAAAAUGGAAUUGACAAUUAACUUUACAAUAGACAUACUACAGUUUCAGAACAGUUAGGCCCGCAUGAAGAUGACAAGUUGCCAGUCGAUUGACAUGUCACCUUUACUGAUAUCCUAACACACCAUACUUUAUUCGGCAUAAAAAAAAGGUUUCCCUUCUGGGUUUCCCUCAUUUAAAAGGCCUUGAUGAUGUAAUGGUGCUAUGCCAAAAUUUUAUCAACGUAGAGAAAUUAAAGCUGCAGCUGUGGGAAAUGGAAUUGACAAUUACAUUCAUCACAGACACAUUUCAGUUUCAGAAAGUGGAGUUUUGUCUUGAAGAUGACAAAAGUUGCCCGUUGAUUUACAUGUCACCUUAAGUGAUAUCAUAGCAGGAGCUUAUCAUUUAGAUAGUUCGUUACCAUACUUUAUUUGACAUGAUUGUUUUAUAGAGUUAUUUCAUUUUGUUUUUUUUAGGCGAAAAUUUUGUCUUGAAGAUGACAAGUUGCCAGUCGAUUUACAUAACACCCUAAGUGACAUCAUAACAGGAACUUUUCAUUUUGGUUUUUUUGAUAUUUUUAGGUACUCUAAAGCAAGAGCCUUGACAUGCAAAACUAUAUUUCAUUCUGGCCCAACAAUAAAUAGUGGGAAAACUUAUCAUGUUCUUGAAAGGUUUUGUAAUUCAAAUCAGGAGUGUAUUGUAGUCCCUAAAUUUUUUAAUUCAAAAUCAGGAGCUUAUUAUGGUCCCUUAAAAUUUUUUACAUCUGAAGUGUAUUGCAAAUGCAAUCAGCGUGGUUGUCCAUGUGAUUUAGUAACUGGGGAAGACAGAAAUUUUGCCAAUGAUAUUUAUAAAUCCCCUUCUUCCCAUGUAUCCUGCACUGUUGAAAUGAUCUCAGUGAACACUCCAUAAGAAAUAUGUAUUAUUUGCAAAUAUAAUUAAAUUAUUUAUUUCCCCCGCCUGA